rnacentral:rRNA from 1 species
UAUUAAUGUAAUUAUAUUUAUUUGAGUAGUAUUAGUUAUGAUCUUGAAACUUAAAAGAUUUGGCGGUAUUUUAGUCUAUUCAGAGGAACCUGUAUAAUAAUCGAUAAUCCACGUUGAAUCUUACUUAAGUUUGUUUUAAUUUAUAUAUCGUCGUUAUAAGAAUAUUUUUAAAAAAUAAAUAAUUUUCUUUAAUUUUUAUAAAAAUUUAUAUCAGAUAAAGGUGUAGUUUAUGCUUAAGAUUAUUAUGGGUUACAAUAAAUUAAUUUAUAUGGAUAUAAAAUUUAAAUAUUUUAUUGAAAGUGGAUUUGAUAGUAAAAUAAUAAAGAUAAAUUAUUUGAUUUUAGCUCUAAAAUAUGU